CCCUUUGUCUCCUGGCCCCGCCCACAUCUCCACUUGCCCUGUUUCCUUCAUCUCCCAGGGAUUUUUCCUCGGUUGGCCUUUGCUCUCUCCAUCCCAGGUGUUUCCUCAGUGCCAAAAGGGAGUGCCCUGAUCAAGCCACUGCAUAUGCUUCACAAUAGAGUGAAGCCACCCUUCCCUUAAGGAGGUGAAUGAGUGCUGCGAUCCCAUCUGCGGAAUGCUUAUCAUCACAGUGCUUGCCUCCUGUAAUCGCAGGAACACUGAACUGACUCUUGGGGUUUGUUUCCAAGUCCUGCCCACUAGCUGCGAGCUCACCUCCUUUGAAAAGCUAGAUCUAGAGUACUGGUUCUCAAUCUGUGGGUCAAGACCCCCUCUGGGGAUCGAAUGACCCUUUCACGGUGUUGGGGAGCCUAUGAGUAUCAAAAUAACCAGAACCCUUCUUCGUACCUCGUUUGAACACAAAAGUGCUUGUUAAGGAAAAUGAGGUUCCACCUGCUCUGAGAACAUACACCUUGCUAUGGCUGGAGGUGCCCUGGGGCUCAGAAGGCUCCAGCCUGCAGCUCUGAGCUCUUGCCCUUGCUUCCUCCUGUCCCUCCGCAUGAUGACCACGGGCAGGGAGAGGCCUAGAUGAGCAGAAGUGAACCUCAACAGGAUUAGAGAAGCAGCUGCACCCCGUGAAAUGACGCAUCUAAACUCGCCAGCCUCGCCACUCUGCUACAAAUUAAAUGAU